rnacentral:rRNA from 1 species
CACCCGCGCCACAAGUGGCAAUCGUUGUUAUUGGGCCUAAAGCGUCCGUAGCAGGUCCUGUAAAUCUCUUGUGAAAUUGUUGCGCUCAACGCAACAGCGUGCAAGGGACACUGCAAGACUUGGGACCGGGAGGGGUUAGAGGUAUUUCUUGGGGAGCGGUAAAAUGCUAUAAUCCAAGAAGGACCACCUAUGGCGAAGGCAUCUAACCAGAACGGAUCCGACUGUGAGGGACGAAAGCUAGGGGAGCGAACCGGAUUAGAUUUCGAACAUCUUCACAACAAAACUUCUUGUCUGUUCGUCGACAAAACUACUGGAUAAGAUAAGAAAUGAAGAUGAUAAUUCGACUAAAUACCCGAGUAGUCCUAGCCGUAAACGCUGCGAGCUAGGUGUUGCACAAUCUUCAAGGUUGUGCAGUAUCGAAGCGAAGGCGAUAAGCUCGCCGCCUGGGAAGUACGGUCGCAAGGCUGAAACUUAAAGGAAUUGGCGGGGGAGCACUACAAGGGGUGCGGCGUGCGGUUUAAUCUAACUCCACUCAGAGAAUCUCACCAGGAGCGACGGCAGGAUGAAAGUCAGAUUAAAGGUUUUACUUGACGAGCCGAGAGGUGGUGCAUGGCCGACGUCAGCUCGUGCCGUGAGGUGUCCAGCUAAGUCUGGUAACGAGCGAGACCUGUAUCCACAAUUGCUAACGGGCGCUUUUGCGUGACUGAGCACAUUGUGGAGACUGCCCUGGAGACAGGGAGGAGGGUGCAGGCUACGUUAGGUCUGUAUGCCCCGAAUCUUCUGGGCUACACGCGCGCAACAAUGAUAAGGACAAUGGGACACGACUCCGAAAGGAGAAGUUAAUCCUCGAAACCUUAUCCAAGUCCAGAUUGAGGGUUGUAACCCACCCUCAUGACGCUGGAAUCCCUAGUAAUCGGACGUUAUCAGCGUCCGGUGAAUACGUCCCUGCUCCU